UACGUAGGGUGCAAGCGUUAAUCGGAAUUACUGGGCGUAAAGCGUGCGCAGGCGGUUUUGCAAGGCAGAUGUGAAAUCCCCGGGCUCAACCUGGGAAUUGCAUUUGUGACUGCACGGCUAGAGUGUGUCAGAGGGGGGUAGAAUUCCACGUGUAGCAGUGAAAUGCGUAGAGAUGUGGAGGAAUACCGAUGGCGAAGGCAGCCCCCUGGGAUAACACUGACGCUCAUGCACGAAAGCGUGGGGAGCAAACAGG
rnacentral:rRNA from 1 species